UACGUAGGGUGCAAGCGUUAUCCGGAAUUAUUGGGCGUAAAGAGCUCGUAGGCGGUUUGUCGCGUCGGCCGUGAAAUCUCCACGCUUAACGUGGAGCGUGCGGUCGAUACGGGCAGACUUGAGUUCGGUAGGGGAGACUGGAAUUCCCGGUGUAGUGGUGGAAUGCGUAGAUAUCGGGAGGAACACCAGUGGCGAAGGCGGCUUCCUGGACCAGAGCUGACACUGAGGCGCGAAAGCGUGGGGAGCGA
rnacentral:rRNA from 1 species